GAGAGUUAAACAGUACGUGAAAUUGUUGAAAGGGAAACGAUUGAAGCCAGUCGUACCUUCGGGUAAUCAGCCUUUCGGGUGCGAUUCUGUGGAGUUUGAGGAGCUUAACACCUUCAUGCUUUGCAUAUUUGUGCUCUUGGGUGUACUUGCCCGUGUGGUUGGUUAACAUCAAUUUCGGGCACCAUAAAAUGGCUGGAGGAAUGUAGCUUCGAUCUCGUAUUGAAGUGUUAUAGCCUUCGGUAGAUGUGGGGAUCGAGAUUGAGGAUUGCAACGGAUACCUUUCGGGGCUACCUGUCUGAUCUCUGAUCGUUGCUUUGGUGCUGAAAGCGUGCUUAUAGUUAUCAAAGUCGAUGGUCAAUAGGUUAGAAUGGGUUAAAUUCGUUAAGGAUGUUGACGUAAUGGCUUUAAACGA
rnacentral:rRNA from 1 species